GCAAUAACAGGUCUGUGAUGC
rnacentral:ncRNA from 4 species